UUCAACGUGGUGACCAAGGACAUGAGG
rnacentral:piRNA from 2 species